GCGAAUGGCUCAUUAAAACAGUUAUUGUUCACUUGAUGGUUACUUGCUAUAUGGAUACCUGUAGUAAUUCUAGAGCUAAUACAUGCAUCAAAGCCCGACUUAUCGGAAGGGCUGCGUUUAUUAGAUACAGAACCAUCCCGGGCCUUGUGUUCGGUAAAUGGUGAAUCAUGAUAAAAACGUGAAUCGAAAGGCUCCGGCCGACGAUAAAUCAUCCAAGUUUCUGACCUAUCAGCUUCCGACGGUAGGGUAUUGGCCUACCGUGGCAUUGACGGGUAACGGAGAAUUAGGGUUCGAUUCCGGAGAGGGAGCCUGAGAAACGGCUACCACAUCUAAGGAAGGCAGCAGGCGCGCAAAUUACCCAAUCCUGACAUAGGGAGGUAGUGACAAGAAAUAACAAUAUAGGGCGGUAAUCGCCUUGUAAUUGGAAUGAGUGGAAUUUAAAUCUCUCCACGAGUAUCAAUUGGAGGGCAAGUCUGGUGCCAGCAGCCGCGGUAAUUCCAGCUCCAAUAGCGUAUAUUAAAGUUGUUGCGGUUAAAAAGCUCGUAGUUGGAUUUCUGCCUAGUGUGCGACCGGUCC
rnacentral:rRNA from 1 species